AUCAUCAUCGUCAGCCUGUUUUAUGUCCGCUGCAGAACGAAGGCCUUUCCCUGCGACCUCCAUUCGCCCUGUCUUGCGCUAACCGAUUCCUACUAGCGCUCGCGAAUGCCCUAAUUUCAUCGCUCCACCUAGUCUUCUCUCGUCCUCGAUUCCGUUUCCCUUCUCUUGGUGUCUAUUUUUUAACCCUAAUGGUCCAAUGGUUAUCUAACCUGCACAUUACAUGACCUUCCCAGCUCCAUUAUUUUCUCUUGAUGUCAAUUAGAAUAUCGUCUAUACUCGUUUGCUCUCUGAUCCAGACCACUCUGUUUCUGUCUCUUAAUGAUAGGCUUUGCGAUCUUGGUCCCAUCGCUCUUUGUCGUCCUUAACUUGUUCUCAAGCUUUUUUCUCAGUCUCCAAGUCUCUGUCCAAUAUGUCAUCACUAGUAAAAUGCACUGCUUGCAUACCUUCCUUCUCAAUGAUACUGGUAAGCUUCCAGUCAGGAGCUAGCAAUGUCUGCGGUAUGCGAUCAAACCCAUUUUUAUUCUUUUGUGAAUUUCCUUUUCAUGAUCAGGGUUCUCUGUGAUUAAUAAUCCUAGGUAACCGUACUCCUUCACAGACUCUAGAGGCCGACUGGCAAUCCUGAACUCUUGUUCCUUUGCCCGGCUAUUUAUCAUUAUUUUGUCUUCUGCUUAUUAAUCUUCAACCCUACUCAUGCACUUUCUCUGUUAACGUCGUCAAUUAUUUUUUAACUCGUCUGCAUUGUUGCAGAAUAGAACAAUGUCGUCGGCAAACCGAAGGUUGCUGAGAUAUUAGCCGUCGAUCUUCACUCCUAAUCCUUCCCUGUUUAAUAGCUUGAAUAGUUCUUGUAAGCACGCAGUGAAUAGCUUUGGAGAGAUUGUGUCUCCUGGUCCUACCACUUUUUAUAGGUAUCGUCCUACUUUUCUUGUGUAGAAUUAAGGUGGCUGUGGAAUCUCUGUAGAUAUUUUCCAGGGUAUUUACGUAAGCGGUCUGUCCUCCUUGAUUACGUAAUGCCUCUAUGACUGCUCAUAUCUCUACUGAAUCAAAUGCUUUUUCGUAAUCUAUGAAAGCCAUAUAGAGAGGUUUAUCGUAAUCUCCGGAUUUCUCGAUAACAUGAUAAAUGACAUGGAUGGGAUCCAUUGUAGAGUAUAUCUUCCUGAAGGCAGCCUAUUCCCUUGGUUGAGUAAAGUUCAGCGUUGCUCUUAUUUUAUUGGAGAAUAUUUUGGCAAAUAAUUUAUAUAAUACUGGGAGUAAGCUAAUGGGCCUAUAAUAUUCCAGCACUUUAACGUCUCCCUUUUAGGGAUUUGUAUAAUGCUUGCAUUCUUCCAGUUUUCUGGGGCCCUUGAAGUCGAUAGACACUUAGUAUAAAGAGCCGGCAGUUUUCCAAGCAUUAUGUCUGCUCCAUCUUAGAUUAAAUCGACUGUUAUUGCAUCUUCUUCUGCCGGUCUUCCUCUUUUGAUGUCUUGCAAGGCCCUUCUGACCUCAUCGCUUGUUAUAGGAACAGGUUCUGUAUCGUGUUCAUGACUGUUUCUAAUUGAGUUAUCAUAACUCCUUUGGGUAUUGUACUGGUCAGUAUUGAAUACUUCAGCUGCUUUUCCUAAAUCUUCGAGAUUUCUGAUAAUAUUACCCUACUUAUCUUUCAGUGCAUACAUCUUGCUUUGUGCCAGGCCAAGUCUCUUUCUCACUGAUUUCAGGCUGCGUCCAUUUUUACUGCUUCAUUCUUUCUCACGUUAUAGUUUUUAAUAUUCCUUAUUUUCGCUUUUUCGAUCAGUUUUGACAGUUCCGCGAAUUCUAUCCUCUCUCUUGAGUUCGACACUUUCAUUUUCGUCGUUCCUGUAUUCGGUCCUUUGUUACAAGGGAGAGCUUGCCCACUGGUUGUCUUGGUGCCUUGUCUCCCAUUUCAAGUGCUGCCUCUGAAGCCAACCAAGUUACGGUUUAAUUCAUUAGCUCUAUGGCAUCAUCAUCUCUCCGUUCUAAGGCUGCAUAUUUGUUUGCAAGUACCAGCCUGAAUUUGUCUGCUUUUACCCUUACUCCCUCUAGGUUGACCUGUUUCUUUUUGACCAAUUUUGCUCUUUCUCUCUUCAAUUUGAGGUGAAUCCUAUCCCUCACUAACCUAUGAUCACUGCACUUUACCCUCCCUAUCAUUUCUACAUCCUGCGCUAUGCUGGGAUCAGCAGAAAUGUGAAGUCAAUCUCAUUAUCUCAUUGCUUGUUUCACCAUUAGGACUUUUCCAGGUCCACUUUUUGCUGCUACGCUUAUGAAAAUAGUGCUCGUUGUUCGGCGCUUAUUCCUUUCUGCGAAUGCUACCAGCAUCUCUUCUCUAGCGUUCCUAGAAUCGACGCCGUAGUUGCCAAUUGCUUGUUCACCAGUCGGCCUUUUCCCCACUAUUGCAUUGAAGUAAUAUAUAUAAUAAACGGUGCAGCGGUGGCGUAGAGGUAGAACACCCGCCUCGCGUGCAAGAGGUCCGUGGUUUGAAUCCCGGUGUCGGCAAUUUUCCAUCGGAUUAAAAAAAAUCCGCGUGUUGAUAAAAUUGCCAAACAGGCCUGGAGUGUGGCCUGAUCCCGGUGACCAGAACCGGUAACGCACUCCCUCACCAGAGCAGGAUUGGCCACCCUGGUGCAGUACUUGGCCACAACCUCCCGUAUGAACACAACAAUCAAACCCCGGCCCACAGUUCCCAGCAGCUGCGUAGCAACUGACCACUGCGGCGGUCAGACCUGCGACGCAGCAGACACGCCGGACACGCCGCCAUUGGAAUAUGAACCUGGCAACGUUUAACGCUAGAACGUUAUCUAGCGAGUCGACUCUAGCAGUGCUAUUGGAGGAAUUAGAGGGCAGUAAAUGGGAUAUAAUAGGGCUCAGUGAAGUUAGGAGGCCAAAAGAAGCAUAUACAGUGCUAAAAAGCGGGCACGUCCUGUGCUACCGGGGCUUAGCGGGGAGACAAGAACUAGGAGUCGGAUUCCUGAUUAAUGAGAAUAUAGCUGGUAACAUACAGGAAUUCUAUAGCAUUAACGAGAGGGUGGCAGGUCUUGUUGUGAAACUUAAUAAGAGGUACAAAAUGAAGGUUGUACAGGUCUACGCCCCUACAUCCAGUCAUGAUGACCACGAAGUCGAAAGCUUCUAUGAAUACGUGGAAUCGGCGAUGGGUAGAGUGAAAACAAAAUACACUAUACUAAUGGGCGACUUUAAUGCCAAGGCAGGCAAGAAGCAGGCUGGAGACAUGACAGUGGGGAAUAUGGCAUAGGCACUAGGAAUAGCAGGGGAGAGUUAUAAGUAGAGUUUUCGGUACAGCAUAAUAUGCGGAUAAUGAAUACCUUCUUCCGCAAGCGGGAUAUCCGGAAGUGGACGCGAAGGAGCGCGAACGGCGAGACUAGAAAUGAAAUAGACCUUAUACUCUGCGCUAACCCUGGCAUCAUACACGAUGUGGACGUGCUCGGCAAGGCGCGCUGCAGUGACCACAGGAUGGUAAGAACUCGAAUUAGCCUAGACCUGAGGAGGGAACGGAAGAAACUGGCACAUCAGAAGCCGAUCAAUGAGUUAGCGGUAAGAGGGAAAAUAGAGGAAUUCCAGAUCAAGCUACAGAGCAGGUAUUCAGCUUUAACCCAGGAAGAGGACGUUAGUGUUGAAGCAAAGAACGACAAUCUUGUGGGUAUCAUUAAGGAGUGUGCUAUGGAAGUCGGAUACAGGAUACAGGAUGCAGGAUACCAGUAAACUAUCGCAGGAGACGAAAGAUCUGAUCAAGCAACGCCAAUGUAUGAAAGCCUCUAACCCUACAGCUAGAAUUGAACUGGCAGAACUUUCGAAGUUAAUCAACAAGCGUAAGGCAGCUAACAUAGGGAAAUAUAAUAUGGAUAGAAUUGAACAUGCUCUCAGGAACGGAGGAAGCCUAAAAGCAGUGAAGAAAAAACUAGGAAUUGGCAAGAAUCAGAUGUAUGCGUUAAGAGACAAAGCCGGCAAUAUCAUUACUAAUAUGGAUGAGAUAGUUCAAGUGGCUGAGGAGUUCUAUAUAGAUUUAUACAGUACCAGUGGCACCCACGAAGAUAAUGGAGAGAAAAUAGUCUGGAGGAAUUCGAAAUCCCACAGGUAACGCCGGAUUAAGUAAUUAAAGCCUUGGGAGAAAUGCAAAGGGGGAAGGCAGCUGGGGAGGAUCAGGUAACAGCAGAUUUGUUGAAGGAUGGCGGGCAGAUUGUUCUAGAGAAACUGGCCACCCUGUAUACGCAAUGCCUCAUGACUUCGAGUGUACCGGAAUCUUGGAAAAACGCUAACAUAAUCCUAAUCCAUAAGAAAGGGGACGCCAAAGAGUUGAAAAAUUAUAGACCGAUCAGCUUACUUUCCGUUGCCUACAAAGUAUUUACUAAGGUAACCGCAAAUAGAAUCAGGAACACCUUAGACUUAUGUCAACCGAAGGACCAGGCAGGAUUCCGCAAAGGCUAUUCAACAAUAGACCAUAUUCACACUAUCAAUCAGGUAAUAGAGAAGUGUUCAGAAUAUAACCAACCCUUACAUAUAGCUUUCAUUGAUUACGAGAAAGCGUUUGAUUCUGUCGAAACCUCAGCAGUCAUGGAGGCAUUACGGAAUCAGGGUGUAGACGAGCCGUAUGUAAAAAUACUGAAACAUACAUAUAGCGACUCCACAGCCACCGUACACUAAAAAAUUUCCGUCAUUAUACCGAGGAUUUCCGUCAUUAUACGGAGAACUGCAGGUAAAAAUACGUAAACUAUGCCAUAUUCCAAAAAUAUGGCAAAAUCUGCCGUUAAUGUACGGAAAGUGCUCUCCGUUUUAAGCUUUGCGGACAUUUUCACUGUAAUCAUAUAACGGCUAUACACUGUUUUGGACGAAACAGACAGAAUUCCGUAUUUUUGUUAUACGAACAUCCGUAUUAUUGUGAGAAAAUUUAAGCUGUCUGAAUGAGCGCUCGUACUCACAAAGUUUCAGCUAACAAUAUUUUAUUGUACACGCAAACUGUACGCAUUAUGCAGAUGCGUACAAAAUGUGAGAGCUAGCCUUCUACCAAAAGCUGCAAUAACAGAUUGUAUAAAUAUAUAUACGCAUCUUCUAUUGCGGUCGCAGUUUGCCGCGCAUAUGGGCCUUGUAACGCUGAUCAUAUGCGCAAAUAUAUGCGCGUUCUCGCAAUGUUCUCAAAUUAAGCGCUUUGUAGUUAAUAACACAGCAUAUAUGUUUAAGUGAAUGAAGAGCCGUGGACAUACGUGCAUACGUAAGGAAGCUUGCAGCAUUCAGGUGCUGGUGAAAAAAAAUAAUAGAAGAAGAAAAAUAAGAAGAAAAAAAUAAUACGGAAAGAAAGAAUGUUCAGUGCCGAGAUGUAACGAUUCAAGCUUUAUUUCUUUUUGACCUAGAAUGCAACACCAUUAGUUCCAUGUGCUUUAUAUAUGGGUAAUGUUAUGACACAACUCAUAAUUUACCCGCUCAUUACAUGCACCAACCAGCCCAAAUUAUCACUAUACUAGAGCUUAUGGACGAAUCGCAGUGCAUUGCUUUGCACUUCGCCCGCCGUGGUUGCUCAGUGGCUAUGGCGUUAGGCUGUUGAGCACGAGGUCGCGGGAUCGAAUCCCGGCCAUGGCGGCCGCAUUUCGAUGGUGGCGAAAUGCGAAAACACCCGUAUACUUAGAUUUAGGUGCACGUUAAAGAUCCCCAGGUGGUCGAAAUUUCCGGAGUCCUCCAAUGCGGCGUGCCUCAUAAUCAUAAAGUGGUUUUGGCACGUUAAACCCCAUAAUUUAAUUUUUUUUCACUUCAUUGCAGCACAGGGGUUUGCUAUCCCCAGUAGCGAACGCUUUGGUUGACCUCCCUGGCUUUCUGCUUCUUGCAUUCUCUCUCAAUUUGUAUAAAACGGACUAACUUGUGGGAGAGAAAGCGUUCUCCUCUUUUAGAAUUCAAUUAAUUGUCAAGCAAUUAUAUUGCAGUUCCACUAACUAGAGCACAAAUGCGAAAACGAAACCGAUUCUGUUCUAUUCUCCGCGCUCAUAGAGUGCGGCACCAGGGGGCAGCGCGUGCUGCGCGUCCGCUAGCAGUGGCAGACUCCGUCUGCACAUGUGUAGUCAGCCGAAAUUUUUCGUUUCGUGUUGUAAAAGUUGUUAACUUGCCGUAAAUAUCUUGAUUUGUACUCGAGAGUGGAGCAAGACCCCAAGGAAGAGAGAUUGACGCAUCGCGAGCGAAGAACAGAAACGAUGGAUGGUUACGCUGCUUGGGUCUCGGCACGUUGGAAUUGGCAAAGUUCCGAAUUUGUCGCUGUGUUGUGUACGCUUGUGUGCUCGUCCUUUGCCGUCAUCGCGCGGAGAUAUUUGCGCUGGAUGUCUUUCACUUCGUGUACAAAACUCUGCACGCUGCGGCAUCGAAAAAGUUGUCCUGUGUUUGGGUGCACGUAUGCGCUUGGACAAGGAUAGCCUGCUUGCUCUCAACGGGUGUUCAACAGUCUACGCGCGCUCUUAACUUGCUCAUGAGGUAAGCCCAUUUUAAUCUUAUUUAGUUUGCGUAACGUAGGUGUUAAAAUGAUGUGUGGUAAGCCGGUGUCGCGAACAGAAAUAUUGUUUCAAAAGACCGCUAUGCAACGUCUUAGGGCAAAAAUGACGCAUGAAUGGGGACAGGGAUCACCCUAUCUUUUCAGAUCGAUUCCAGUCGUAGCGCGAUCGGCUCGAUCGCAAUUCCGUGAGGUACUCGCAACCUUUUGCUCACUCGCGUUAAAAGCGUAGAAUAAAACUGCGUUUUGUUGGGCACUUGUAUUGACGCUUGUAUUCGCUUGAGAGCAUACUGUAUCCGAUACAAGAACUUCUGUUAAAAUACGGAAAUAAACGUUCGAGGUAAUAGCAGUCGCUCACUACCUGUGAUCGUUACUUUCUUGCUUGGGUGCACGUUUUAAUUGUGACCAGAAAAAAAAGUUCUUUGCUCUGGCUGGUCUGCUGUGUUUCCUUGGUGCAGCUUUUUGCGGUGUAGCAAGACGUUUUGCUUCGAAUGAUGUCUGGGCAGUCAAGGCAUUCGUGUCAGUAAGCAAGCACUAAACGGGGUAUCAGUGCGAAAAAAAUUGGACAUAGAAGAGAAGGGAAUGGUAUCAUCAUAGACUCUGUUAUUUUACGAAUAAUUCACUUGUAUUACUAAAGCGGAGAGUGGAUAUGCAUGAAAGUCAGAUUGUAUUGAUACUCAGGAAAAACAAGGUAACUUAUUAUUACUAAUCAAUCCUUUUCUUUUACUGAAAGGCAAGUUGUUGUUGUGCUGGAGCUGAGAAGAGGUCUGCUGCCCGCAAUGGGUUCAUCUCUCUCAAGUUAUCGCAGUAUUGUAGCUUUCAAAGUUCAAAAAAUGUAUGGUGGAAGCUGUUGCCAAGGUUCCGACCAGAAAAGAAAGCCAGUAUAAAAGGGUCCACACCACUGAUCUCUACUACAGGGGAUGGACAGCACAUCGAGCACCCUCGACUGAAGCCAACCUUGUCCAGGAAGUUGGUGCUUCACAACUUUGCGGCAGCACUUCGUUUGCACGGACUGUGGAGACAAAGUUUCUUAGACUUCGCCAUGGCCCUCAAGGAAGAUGCCGAGGCCACAGGCAGUUCCUCCAGUGACCGUGAAAAGGUCCCCUGGAGCACAAGUCUAAUUUGGCACCCCUACCUUUCUCCUGCAGCUUUUCUGUCUACUUAGCUAACCAGCAGCAAGUUUAUCCUUGCAAGCGUUUAGCGUCAAAAAAAAAAAAAAACUUUCACCAGGAAGAAGUGCAAGACGAGUGAUUGAAGAAAAUAAAGUUGCUUCUGUGAUAUAAG